CGUGGAGGUUGGCAUAAACAAACAGAAUCGUAAUCGUACUCGUCGUUACCAUUACCACCAUUAUCUCUCUCGUCUUGUUUUCGUAGGAAAGGGAGGAAGGACGUAGGAUAACUAUAGGAAUGAAAAUUUUCUAGUUAAAGUUCUUCCAUUACCGAGGUGGACGAUGACCAUCGAAGUGAGAUGACCGUCGAAGAGAUUUACGUUUCGAAUUACCAACCCAACCCAACCCCCAUAACUUUUUGCAAGACGAUGGAGAAAAACAAGUUCGGGGGAUUUAAAGCUACUUUUGCCUUCCUCAUUAUCGUAUCAACUGGGAAACAUUUAAUAAAGGGGACCCUCGCAAGGAUCUAAAAGCUUCCAAAUAGAAAAAAGAAGAAAAAGAAGAAGAAGAAGAAGAAAAGAAGAUAAGAAAAAAGAGUCUUGUCUCUUACGCAUAGAAGAAAAAGAAGAAAAAGAAGAAGAGGAAGGAUCAAGUAGCUACUACCUGUAAAAAGAAGAAAAACAAAAAAAGAAGAAGAAAAGAAAAAGAAGAAAAGAAAAGAAAAGAAAAGAAAGGCAAACGAACGAAUUCGAACGGUCAGAAACGAUGCUAGAAAUUAAUAGAAUGAUUAAUAUCGGGACACUCGGGGCAAUUGGUCGUCGUUCGAAAAUCGGAUAGAAAAAAAUAAAGAAAAAAAAAAAAAGAAUAAAAAAAAGAUUAAUACUAUGGAGGAAACUUGGAACGAAAAAUAAUCAACUUUUAACUCGAACGAAAGUAAUUAAUAUUAUUUCAAUUACCUAACGGAGGGAUAUUAUCGAUCGUUAUCAAAAUCAAGUCAAGAUUUUACAAGUCAAUAAACCCCAAAGGCGGAACUAACUCCCAGUGGGCUUAAACGUCAAAACCUCUCUCUCUCUUUCUCUCUUUUUUGUUUUUUUAAAUCUCCUCUUCCUUUCUCAUUCAUUUUUCAUUAUCUUCUCUCUCUCUCUUUCUCUCUUUCUCUCUCUCUCUCUCUCUUUCUUUCUUUCUUUCUUUUUCUUUUUUCUUUCUCUCUUUUUUUCUCUUUCUCUCUCUCUCUCUCUCUCUCUCUCUCUCCCUUUCUUAAUCCUUUAUUUUCCUAUCGUCCUUCCUUCCUUUCUUCCUACGUUUCCAAAUUUUUGUCGUUAAAUACAAUAUUAAAUGAAUGAAUGUAUACACUUCGAAGAAAUUUGUCGAGAACAUUUCGUCUCUUUUAUCACAACUCUUUCUUAUCGCUAUCUUUUCUUUUUCUUUUUCUUUUUCUUUUUCCUUUCUUUUCUUUUUUUCGUAUCUUCGGCUAUCCUUAAAAUCAUUUCCUGUUGUUUCUAUUGAUCUAUAUAUUUAUACACACAUACAUACGUAUUAUCGAUCAUUUGUUAACGAAUGAUUUGUAAAUAAAACACUCCUUUCUCUCUUUCUUCCUUUCUCUUUCUUUCUUUCUUUCUUUCUUUCUUUCUUUCUCUCUCUCUUUCUUUUUUUAUGUAUGUACUUUAAACAUUUCAAUCUAUCUGUAAUAAACUCUAAUAGACUCUGUUAUAAGACACGACUUUUCAUUUCUUUUUUCUCUAUUCGAUUACAAUUACAACGAAAACUUUUCGGUCGAUAAAAUGCUAAUUAAUUAUGAUUGCGAUUGAUUUGCUAAUUUUUGGUUUUUUAUUUAUUUUAUUAUUUCCUUUUCUUUUCCUUCAAAUCCUACCUCCUCUAUUUUCUCUUCUUUUUUCUUUCUUCAUUCAAGUUCGACAACGAUAUACAAUAAUGGCUCGGUCGAAACGUUUUAAACGUUUCUCACGGAGAGAAACUUUUCUUCUUUUUUUCUUUUUCCGUAAUAUUUUCUCUUUCUUUUUUUUUCUCUUCUUCUUCUUCUACUUCUUUUUUCUUUCUUUUCUUCCCUCACGAAACAAUAGGCCAUUCAUUCAACUGCUAAUUGCUUCGUGCAAGAUCCCGUUACUCACUUACUUACUUACUUACUUACUUACUUUAGUGCUUUGCAAAAAAUGAAAGAAAAAAUAAUAAUAAUAAUAAUAAUAAUAAUAAUAAUAAUAAUAAUAUAAUACAAAAAAAGAAAAGAAGAGUUUUCUUUUUUUUUUCUUUCUUCAAUAUAAAUUUCGAGCCUCUCAGAGAGAUCGUAAAUUUUUGUAAAUUGACAAACGUAUAAAUAAAUUCAAUAAAUCAGGGCAAUGUUGCACGAACGAAAA